rnacentral:lncRNA from 1 species
GGAAGGCAGAGCUCCAAGAUGACAUGGAGGAGAUCGCACAGGAUUUAUAUGACUACAUGGCUCAUUUAAGUGAGAAAUGCCUUUUUUUUUUAAGCAUUCUUACCAUUUUCCACAAGCCACGGGAGCGAGUUGGGAUAACCAGGGCUAGGAAGGGAUUAAUUUGAGUUACAGAUUAAUCCAGAUUAAUUUGAGUUACACUGGCUGCUCAGGGGGAAAAGCUGGGUGAUCUCAGCCCAAUCCCCAUAGUGCCACCUCACCUGGAGCUGUUUCCAUUCCAGGCAAUUACUAUUCUUCCACAGAAGAUUAUUACUAUGACAACAUCACAGCAACCCCUGCCACAUUCGUCUAUGAGUUUGAUUCCUACGAGGCAAACACCAUUGAGUAUGUGGAUUGGGAGAAGUUGUUUUCAGAAGAGAAUGCCACCACCGAGGUUUCAGAAGUACCAAACACAAAUGCUCCAGAGGAUUCCAGGGAUGCCAAGGACAGUCAGGAUUUCCAGGAGUCAUUUGGAUUGUCCCUGCAGGGCCACCUCACCCUCAUCAUCCUCCUCAGCUUCCUGGGUCUCCUGCUAUGAUGCCCAGACUCCUCCUCCAAAGGCAGGUAACAGCCCAUCCAACUGUGGCAUCAGGGAACUCCCC